rnacentral:rRNA from 1 species
UACAGGGGGUGCAAACGUUGCUCGGAAUCAUUGGGCGUAAAGCGCACGUAGGCGGUUCGUUAUGUCGGAUGUGAAAGCCCUUGGCUUAACCGAGGAAGUGCAUCCGAAACUGGCGAGCUAGAGUACUAAAGAGGAUCGCGGAAUUCCCGGUGUAGAGGUGAAAUUCGUAGAUAUCGGGAGGAACACCGGUGGCGAAGGCGGCGAUCUGGGUAGAUACUGACGCUGAGGUGCGAAAGCUGGGGGAGCAAACCGG